AGAGUGGGAGGUGCGUCCGAGCGGGAUGCUGGUGCAGAAGAGGGAGACGGCGGCAGUACCGGCGGCGCCGACUAUUAGGGUGAAGGUCAAGUAUGGGGAGGGGUACCACGAGAUCUAUGUCAGCGCGGAGGCGACGUUCGGGGAUGUUAAGAAGCGGGUGGCGGAGAGGAUAGGGAUGCAUCAUCUGGACUUGAAGGUGAUGUUCAAGGACCGGGAGAGGGACUCGGCGGCGUUUAUCGAUGUUGCCGGGG
rnacentral:misc_RNA from 1 species